GACGAACGCUGGCGGCAGGCUUAACACAUGCAAGUCGAACGCAUCCUUCGGGGUGAGUGGCAGACGGGUGAGUAACGCGUGGGAACGUGCCCUUCAGUUCGGGAUAACACAGGGAAACUUGGGCUAAUACCGGAUACGUGCGAGAGCAGAAAGAUUUAUCGCUGAAGGAUCGGCCCGCGUCUGAUUAGCUAGUUGGUGGGGUAAUGGCCCACCAAGGCGACGAUCUGUAGCUGGUCUGAGAGGAUGAUCAGCCACAUUGGGACUGAGAAACGGCCCACACUCCUACGGGAGGCAGCAGUGUGGAAUAUUGGACAAUGGGCGCAAGCCUGAUCCAGCCAUGCCGCGUGAGUGAUGAAGGCCUUAGGGUUGUAAAGCUCUUUCGUCCGGGACGAUAAUGACGGUACCGGAAGAAGAAGCCCCGGCUAACUUCGUGCCAGCCGCCGCUGUAA
rnacentral:rRNA from 1 species